UACGAAGGGGGCUAGCGUUGUUCGGAAUCACUGGGCGUAAAGGGUGCGUAGGCGGGUCUUUAAGUCAGGGGUGAAAUCCUGGAGCUCAACUCCAGAACUGCCUUUGAUACUGAGGAUCUUGAGUUCGGGAGAGGUGAGUGGAACUGCGAGUGUAGAGGUGAAAUUCGUAGAUAUUCGGAAGAACACCAGUGGCGAAGGCGGCUCACUGGCCCGAUACUGACGCUGAGGCACGAAAGCGUGGGGAGCAAACAGG
rnacentral:rRNA from 1 species